UACGUAGGGCGCAAGCGUUAUCCGGAAUUAUUGGGCGUAAAGAGCUCGUAGGCGGUUUGUCGCGUCUGCCGUGAAAGUCCGGGCUCAACUCCGGAUCUGCGGUGGGUACGGGCAGACUAGAGUGAUGUAGGGGAGACUGGAAUUCCUGGUGUAGCGGUGAAAUGCGCAGAUAUCAGGAGGAACACCGAUGGCGAAGGCAGGUCUCUGGGCAUUAACUGACGCUGAGGAGCGAAAGCAUGGGGAGCGAAACAGG
rnacentral:rRNA from 1 species